AGCGAACGUUAGCGGCGGGCCUAACACAUGCAAGUCGCACGAGAAAACGGCUUCGGCCGUGAGUAAAGUGGCGGACGGGUGAGUAACACGUGGGUAAUCUGCCCUCCGGUGGGGGAUAACUGUCCGAAAGGAUAGCUAAUACCGCACUCGUCGGCGGGGAUUUCGGUUCCUUUCGGGAAAGCCGGCCUCUUUCUGAAAGUGUGCGCCGAAGGAGGAGCCCGCGGCCCCUCAGCUAGUUGGUGAGGUAAUGGGUCACCAAGGAUUAGACGGGUAGCUGGUCUGAGAGGAUGAUCAGCCACACUGGGACUGAGACACGGCCCAGACUCCUACGGGAGGCAGCAGUGGGGAAUAUUGGGCAAUGGGCGGAAGCCUGAUCCAGCAACGCCGCGUGAGGGAUGACAGCCUUCGGGUUGUAAACCUCUUUCAGCAGGGACGAAGCGCAAGUGACGGUACCUGCAGAAGAAGCACCGGCCAACUACGUGCCAGCAGCCGCAGUAAAAC
rnacentral:rRNA from 1 species